rnacentral:tRNA from 1 species
AGCUCAAUGGUCAGAGCAGGGCGCUCAUAACGCCUUGGUUGGGGGUUCGAGUCCCUCC